ensembl:lncRNA
UGUGCUCCAGGCUUUUGCUCAGCCCCUGCAGCCUCGAAUGCGUGCAUAUACCAUGCUUUUAUCUGAAAGCAAGCACUGUUUUUGCAGGAGCUGGGGUCUGUGCUCGCACACACAGGCGCUGUGCUUGGCAGAGCUUUGUUUGCUGGCUGCUGGCUGGAGGUGACGGAGGCACAUGGCUGUAUGGGGCUGGGAGCCCGGAAAAUAACCAAGAUCGGAAGAGGUUUCAUGCUUUCUCAUCAUCUGCAAAACCAUUCUCUCAGCAGGGGAAUUUUCUGCUCUGCAGUUUCUCUGGUUUGGAAGUGAAGCAGUUUAACAAUUUGUCCUGGAGGAAACAGCACAUAUAGAUUAAAGCAUGGGUUGUCAAGAACCGAUGUAGCACUCAUCGGAAUUCAUCUUAUCUUCACACCAGCGCCCUCAGCGCAGCACUGAUGACAACGAAACGCCACGCAUGGUGCAACCUGCUUGUGAGGCCCUGUCUUCAGAAAGCAUAACCACGACAGAAGCUCUCCCUGCAGAGAGAUUUGCUUUACUAAUUACCAUUUCCCGAAGCUUCGUAUUCCCUACGGGAAAAGGAGUGAAGGGUCGUCCUGCAACAUUACACUGAGGUGAGGUAAAACAGUUUGCCUCAGAAGUCUCCUCUUUCUGCACAGAUCACACACAGAACCACAGGAUGGCCAGGGUAGGACGGGAACUCAAGGAUCAUGAAGCUCCAACCCCCCACCACAGGCAGGACCACCAACCACCACAUGUAAUCCCAGCCCAGGCUGCACAGGGCCCCAUCCAACCUGGCCUUGAACACCUCCAGGGAUGGAUGGGGCAUCCACAGCCUCUCCGGGCAGCUGUUCCAGCACCUCACUACUCUCAUAGCAAAGAACUUCCCCCUGACAUCCAACCUCAACCUUCCCUCCUUCAACUUCAAACCAGGCCCGAGGCCUGGUCGCAGUACCGCCGAUGGGGCCUCACAAGGGCAGAGUAGAGAGGGACAGUCACCUCCCUGUCCCCGCUGGCCACCCCUCUUCUGAUGGAGCCCUAUCUCUUAGUUCUUUGCUGAACAAGAUGAGGGAGCACUGUCAUUCUGGUUUCGUGCUGAGAGAACAGCAGCAGAGUGGUGACUCCUCACCCCAAAGCAUGGCACCAGCAACGUCUCUCCUCCCAGCACAGCAUGAGGCCUUCCCUCCCCACAAACCCAGGGCACCACAGGUGAGAGGUGCUGUUCCUGGAAGGACAUGUCUGCCCUGGUGUGUUUACUGUGUCAUCUACAGCUUUGUGCAUCAGAUUUCUUGCUUCUCACUGGGGCCUGGUUUUACGGUAGGUCCCAUGAAAAUAAUAAGAUAGGAGCAAUAAUUGAGCAUAAACAGCGUGCAGUAAUGAUUGUUUGCUGAGAUCUGGUCUAUCGCAUUAACUCAGAAAACCAUCCCUUACAGGCUUGCACUGUGGUGCUGAGAAGCUGCUAAGCUGAUACUACUUCUUGUCCAUCUUGACUAAAAAGGUAGCGUUUGGUUUGGAAACAGUACAUUUUUUAUUUUAAAUUGAAUAGAAAAAAAUUGAUUUUAAGCCCUAAUUGCAUACAUGUCAAAUAACAUGUCACAUUUAAAGACUGUCAUGGGAGCCAACCGGUGUAAUUGUAUAUGGACAGCGUUAUCUAAUUUACCCUGGUUUGUAUGAUUUACUGGUAUGUUUUGCUGUACAUUGCAUUAUUUAGUUGUUUGAUAAUCUCUUUUCUUUCUGUUGUGAUUUAUGAGGUGGAGUUUCCGUUUGUUUUAUAUCAGCAUGCUAUUUUUGUCAAUCACAAUUUGUGCAACAGCGAUAUACAAAAAUAAAGAUAGUGGAG